rnacentral:rRNA from 1 species
AACGCUGGCGGCGUGCUUAACACAUGCAAGUCGAACGCGAAAGGGACUUCGGUCCUGAGUAAAGUGGCGCACGGGUGAGUAACGCGUAGAUAACCUGUCUUCAUGUCUGGAAUAAUACGCCGAAAGGGGUACUAAUACCGGAUAUCUUGCUUUUCAUAAGUUAUGCAAGCAAAGGUGGCCUCUGCAUAUGCUACUGCAUGAAGAGGGGUCUGCGUACCAUUAGCUAGUAGGUGGGGUAAUGGCCUACCUAGGCGACGAUGGUUAGCGGGUCUGAGAGGAUGAUCCGCCACACUGGCACUGGAACACGGGCCAGACUCCUACGGGAGGCAGCAGUGAGGAAUAUUGCGCAAUGGGGGAAACCCUGACGCAGCGACGCCGCGUGAGUGAGGAAGGCCCUUCGGGUCGUAAAACUCUGUUGUCAGAGAAGAACAAGUUGGAGAGUAACUGCUCCAGCCUUGACGGUAUCUGACCAGAAAGCCACGGCUAACUACGUGCCAGCAGCUGC